AUUUUCUUCCUCUUUUUAAAUACUUUUGCAUUGACAUUGUUUAUACCGGACUACUGCAUAAAGAGGGCAUUUGCCCAAUUCUAAAAUGGACGCUAUAGUUACACACCCCGGUUUAUGAUGCGGCACGUGACGUUCUGGGUCACAUGGGACGUGCCGAAACCGGAAGUAUGACGGCAACCAAUAGAAAUUGCACUGAAAAAGAGGCACGCCAGUUUGGUGAUUGGAUAAUGAAAUGAUUGAAGCACCAAUCAAGAAGAAGGGCACAGUAUUUGAACCACCACAAGCAGCAAACACAUCACCGAUUGAAAAAGCUGUCACAGUACAGCGAAACGCGUCUCGGCUGUAAGAUAGGACUUUUCAUUCAUUUUCUUUAUAUUUAUAUCAUUUAGCUUAUUUUUGUUUGCAUUUUAUUUAUUGAAUACAUUUUGUUUUGUAUUGAAGUCCAUCUUCCAUUUGUGCUGCUAAAAGAAGGGUGGUAGCCUCCUUAAAGGCACAGAUACCUACAUACUAGGAGCCGGUUAUAAAGGCUCCCUACCAGGACCCGCAGAUGAUUAGAGGAUUGAUUGGGUAUUGUGUCCCCUUAAGUACACACAUGCCGCUGUGAUCUGAGCCUAUCCUGUAAGGUUCAGUUAUAUAUACACGGUUUCAGGAUAUCUUAUUUAUACAUUUGGAUGCAAACUCAUAUGGGUGAGUUGGUUAAAAUCUGUGCGCUCCACAUGUACACCAGUGGUGGUUUUUAUUUUUAAUUUCCUACACUGAGUGUUCACUUGGUUCAUUUUUAUACGUAUGCAUAGGGUAGAGAGUCCCUAUUUACAGUGGUAGCUGCUAUAACCAUUUAUUUCAUUAUAAAGGAUAAGCGCCUUAUUAACACACUGCUUUCGCUUUUCAGUCUAUAAAACAAGGAACUCAGCCUGGAAAUAUCUAGUGCCAGAUACAAAGAUCAAAUUAUUCAAUGCAUGACUAUUUUCUCAAGUAGUGCUUUUACCAAUUGUCCUAUGAAUUGCUAAGCUGUUCCUUUGAGGGCACCUGUUCUGUGUAAGAAACUAUCUGCUAGUCUAAGUUGAGCACUGAUUUAGGAAGAACAAAGUCAUACAUAUACCCUGCCUAUACCUCUUGAAAAGAACAAAAUGUCUAUGAUCUAAUAACAAACGAAAAAAAUAUAUCUUCAAUUAAUAAUUAUUGAGGAUGGUGCAGAGCAGAGCCCCAACGCAUGUUUCGCCGGUAAGGCAGUUCUUCAAGGGGGAUAAGACCAUUGUGACAGGUUAGGUAUAUAGCAUUAAAUUCUAACCGAAAUGUGUCCUCUUUAAGCAGGAUAAGACCAUUGUGACAGGUUAGGUAUAUAUCGGCAAAUUCUAACUGAAAUGUGUCCAUUUGAUCCAAUGAGGUGAGUGGAAUUUGAUUGGCUGUUAAUUUGUCCAAUGUGAGAACCCAUGGGAACUGAAAAACGUGAUAGGAUGAUUUAAAUAUUUAGUCUGCAUAAACCUCCAAUAGGAGUGCAUCAUAUAAAAAGAUCAUUAAACUGUGUUUAGUACAAAGUUAUUAUUAAACAAUUUGAAAGGUCAAGUUUUUAUUUGUACAUUAAUAAUUGUUUACAGUUUGUAAAGAGUUAAGUCAAACUGUGAAUGGUUACAUAGGAGAUAAGUGUUCUCCCGUCUCUUCGUGCAAAAUCUAUUCUUAGGUGUUCCUUUUUAUAUAUGUAUGAUUGCACGGCUGUAUAUUUUUCUGUUGUUAUCAUAUCUUAAAUAGGAUUAAUGAAUUCAUGCAGCAUAGUUUUGUAUUGAAAUAAUGCAGAUCUAUUUGGUAGUAUAUGACAGUUGUCUCUCAUGAUUGUAUGUAGAGGUCCGUGAGUUAAUUCUAUAUUAGUCGUUUUCCUUUAAUAAUUAUAUUUUUUCAUUUUCUUUAAACUUUUGUUUUUUGGUCUAUACUAUUGAUGGUCUUAGAAUUUAGUAAUUACUUUUUACCUAGGGUUAUCCCAUUUCUUCUUUUCUGACAUUCUUAGUUCCUAUCCCUUUCCCCAUUAAAAUACAUUUUAAACUAUUGUCUCAGUGUCUAAGGGGUUGACGGAAAACUUCAAGCACCAUAAACACUACAACGCGUUUCUCAUUCAAUGACCUAGCUCUGUACAGCAGAACUAAAUUCAGGAGAGCUAACUGGAGCUGUAGUUGGAAGCAAUAAAAAAAUAAAUAAAUAAAGUAGGCCCCAAUGGCCUGGAAGCACAACCACUACAGAACUCGAUAGUGGAUGUCUUGCUUGGAGUGUUCCUUUAACAACUUAGUGCAAUCACGAAUGCAUUGUCUAUUCUGCUUAGUUUAACUUCCUAGUUGGACUAACCUAAAUAUUAUUGAAUUCUGAUAUUUAAUUUCCCACAAUCAUUUAUUGUAUGUGCAAUACUGUUUAAUGCCAUGGGUUGCAAAGUAGUAUUUCUAUCUAUGGAGCCAAAUCUGUCAUCAAUCCAUGACCAAUAAACCAAAAAAAAUAUUAAUUUAUUUAUUUAUUUGUUUGUUUGUUUGUUUUUCAAAGCUGGUGCCAACAAAAUCAAUUAUAGAGAAAUAUUUGCAAUGAUUGAAGCAAGCAUUGAGGAAGGAAAUAGUUUUGAUGAAGGACCUGUCAGCUCAGUGCUUGUACUGGCACAUGAUGGUGAGAUUUCUGAAGAAACAGGUAUGUUUGCACUCUGUGCUUGGCAACUUUUGUAAUGUUGGUUUGUAUUAUUAGUGUAAUAAAAAGAAAGGAUUAUCUAUGAGAUAAAAUACAAGGAAGUUAAUUAAAAAAAAAAUAUGACACAAAAUAAACUUUUAUGCUUAAAGCUCUUCCUGUUUUUAAAAAAAAAAAAAAACACAUGUUGAAGAACAUGUUAUAUUUUAUAUACAUAAUGCUCUUCUGAAAUAGUUUUACCAGAAGAUCCUUAAUGUGACCCUUUUUAAUUGUUUUAUUUUAUUUACAAUGUAUGCCUGGCUAUCCUGCACAGCCAGAGGAUUCAAUGUAAAUUCAUUUAACUCCCAUGGUGCAAGAGAAUGCUGGUGUGCUUUCAGUCAUAUUGCCAUGACUAACCCAAACUUCAAAGCUCACCCUCUGAAACUGACCAUGCAUUCAUGGCGUUAGUAUUGCAUCUGUGCGUCUUUACGUGACUUUCCAUGGUAAGCCGAGUCAUGGCACCUGGGCAACCAAAAUCAUCUGAAGAAGUGCGCACCCAGGGGAACUGCAAGACUUCCCUGAGAGUGUGGCUACACAGAAAGUUUGACCCACACAUUCCCAUGGCAACAACAAACACAUUGAUGUAGAGGGAAGGAAAGAGGGUGAUAAGUGAGCUUGACAAAAGGGGUGUCCCUACAUAAGAUGGCCUAUUUAAGCCCAGGUCAGCUGAGCUUUUAUUGCUCAAUUGAUCUGUGCUAUCUGCUGUGGUCACUUAGCUUCUGAUCUCCUGGUAUCUGACGUUUGGCCUGAUUCUAUGCUCCUGAACCUUACUGCCUGGAUAUUUGAACCCUUGGCUUUUUUGGCAUUGGCUUUGACCCCUUUGGAUUUGUUUGCUUUGAACCCUUUUACAUCAAUAAUCAACUACCUUUUGGGUUCCACUUCCUACAACCACCUAACACAUAUUACAUGUAUCUGCCCAAAAAUGCAUGAGUCUGUUAAGCUUUGUGGGCUGAUGACCUUGUCGACCUUGAACAUGGAAGUGCUGAGAUUGAAAGUGUGUUUUUACUUAAUUCCAAUGCACCACUCAUGUCAGCAAAAACUGCAAAAUUAUAUACUGGGGUAAAAUAUCCAAUUAACAAAAUGAAAUUUGGAGCAAUACGUAUAGGCUAAAUUUGUAAUAAAAGCCUAAAGCAUCCUCAAUAUAAAUGCAAAUCCCCUCCUCUCCCCCAUGUAUAUACUAUAAGACAGUCUGCUGCCACUACUGGGACAAUACGCUCAUUAUACAUGAAAAAGUGCUUUUUUUUAAAAUGAAUUGCUCCCACCCCAUAAUGUGCAUGGAAGCUGAGGUUUAUGUUGUAUGCAUAACCAGCUAUAUGGUAAUGCAAUCACACAGGAGGUGUAAUACAGAGGUCAUGCAGUAGCUUUGCUAUAUGUCACACAGUGACAAUGGAAAUGGAAAUAGAAAUUCAGCUUCUCUCAUUAGGUUUAGCUCCCAGCCUCUCAUCCUUUAUAUAUGGACUUAUAUGGAAUAUGGACUUUCUUGCUUUAAAUGUAUUAGAAGUUAGGUCAGUGGGUAGGGCAUGUGCCAUAGCUAGAAAGGAGUGGCUUGGAUGGAAUGUUGAGAUUAAAUAGCCACCAGUUAUGCCACCUUUUAUGAUUACAAAUAAAUGCAUUAUAGUAGGAGUUGAUAAAAGCAUACAGAAAAUUUGUUUAAAAAAAAUACACAGUAUAAAAAAAGAAAAUCCCAAAGUUGAAUACAAACUAGCCUAGAAAUGCAGCAACUAAAACGUUACAUGUCGAAAAUAGUAAAACUGUUAUACGUUCACCAAAAUCCAUUCUUAAUGAUUAUACAUAUUCAACCGGCCUUACAAUUCCAAAUUCGAAAUAGAGCCCUCUCAGGCAUCAAUACAUAUUAUUCUUUCUUCAGGUGAAAACAAUCCACUCCAAUCUCAAUUUUCCCAAGAUAAUGGGGGAUAAGGGUCUGCAGAUGUACAGUGAGAAAUUUGAAACUAUUUAUGGGCCUGCUCACACUUAUAGAUCAUUUUGUUUUUAAUGGUGGAAAUAGAUGGGUAUUUUUUGCUCUUUGAGAUUUAGAGAGGACCGAGUGUGAUAGGAAUAAUUUUAAAAGAUAUAUAUACACAAUAGUUUGAUAUGUGUAAGUCAUAAGAUAUAUAUUAAAGGAGCACUAUAGGGUCAGGAACACAAAUGUGUUCCUGACCCUAUAGGGUUAAAACCACCAUCUAGCCACCCUGGUCCCCUCAUGCCUCACUAAAUAAAGUAAAAUCUUACUUGUAUUCAAGCCUGCAGCUGCUUACUUUGUCCCUGUUUCCUUUAGACCAGUCCACUGCCUGCCUACAUCUGCAGAAGUGGUAGCCUGAUCCAAUCACAAUACUUCCCCAUAGGAUUGGCUGAGACUGACAAAGAGGCAGCUCAGGGGCAGAGCCAGCACAAAUCAAACAAAUACCUGGCCAACCAGCAUCUCCUCAUAGAGAUUAAUUGAAUCAAUGAAUCUCUAUGAGGGAAGUUCAGUGUCUGCAUGCAGAGGGAGGAGACACUGCAUGUUUUGAUGCAUUUUAGGCAGCAAUGACCCAGGAAGGAUCUCUAACAGACAUCUUAGGAGUGGCCAGUGAAGUUAUCCCUAUGCUGUAAUGUAAACACUGCAUUUUCUCUGAAAAGACAGUGCUUACAGCAAAUAGCCUAAAGGUAAUGAUCCUACUCACCAGAACAAAUUCAAUAAGGUAUAGUUGUUCUGGUGACUAUAGUGUCUGUGGCAAAUCUAGCCACUCCAGACUGCAAUGUUAUGUAUAUGGUGCUAUCCCUUUAAGAUUGCCUGCCCAUGUCUGUAUUUGUAUUACAUAUGUGUGGCAAACCUAGCCACUUUAACCCUGUCUUUAUAUACCUAAGGCUAGCGCUUGUACUGUAUCUGUAACAGACUUGGCCCCUUAAGAAAUGUCCGCAUGUAAAAGUUCAGGCUGUUUCACCUAUCGCCAGUAUAUGUCUAGAGCAUUCGUGUGUUUCCAACACACAAAUAUCGCCAGCAUAAAUACUGUAACCUGUGAAUAAAAGCUCAGUUGACCUCCAAGCUACGUGUCGUCUAGUUCUUGGGAGAAAAGGAUUGCGAUUACACUACCUGCAUUUUACCAACAUUUUACCUGCUUUAUCCUGACUACCAGCGGAGAUACCAUGGAUAAUACAACUACUCCGCUACAGUGUCCCUUUUAGAAAAAAAACUGAUAGAAUGCACCUUUAUAAAAACGUUUAAAAUACCUAUACAUAAAAAAAUCUCACUGCUUUACUCUGAUGUUGAUGAUCCUUUAUUUGUCUUUACUGCUUGUCUAUUAAUACAUUCCACUGAAGCAGGAGAAAGAAAACAAUCUAAGCAUCAUCACGUCCCAUUUCAUUAUGGUGUACAUGUUAAAAAUGUAAAAAAAAUUUGUAUAUAUGAAUCAACUCAGAAAACUUUUACUUUUCAAACUGGUAACAGAUAUUUUUAUCCACAUUGGCUGCUUUUCAAAUGCAACUAGAUUAAUCUAGGCAUGCUUCCUUAUUCACAAAGAAUGCACUUCACAAUAAAUCCCUAAAAAUAAGACUCUAUUAAACUCUAUUACAAAUUGUGUUUCUUAAAACAUCCAUGUGAUGUGACUAUUUUGACCUUUUGAAUGAUUCAAGCAAAUGUAUGUUUUUUGUUUGUUUCUACAGAAGUUUGAAACAGAGAACUUUGUUAAAAAAAAGGAGAUAACAAGGGGAAAAUAAUCUGUUCAGCUGUGAAGCCAUCUCUCUACCAAGAAUCAAUCAACAGAGGCAUCUUUAUCUGAACUUGAUUCAUAGAAUAACUUUUCUUCUGUUCCAGUAUUAAGCUUUGAUCCUUGAGAUGUUGUCCUCUGCCCUGUUGUCACAGUUGGUGGCCACAGCCAUCACCAUCUAUGAAGAAUGUAAGCUUUUAAAAUGCUACCAAUGAGAAACAAUUUUUUUAAAUCUGUAUGAUGUCAACAAAGACUGAGAGGAUUAUUCAAUAAACUCUACAUUUUCUUGACUUAUAUCCAAAGGCAUAACUGAGAAUCUUGUGCUAUUUUUGCCUCAUUUUUUUUUUAUUUGGAUUGAAUUUUUUAACAUUUGCUACAUUAUUCAAUAAAGUGAGAAUUCAAGGUGAAUUUCAAAUUUAAAAGUCAAAAUAAAUGAACUGGAAAGACUCUCUACUUCAGUUCUGCUAUCAAUGCAGCUACUCCGGCCUAAAAUUUGAAGUUCAAUUUUAAAUCACACUGAAUUUUCACUUUAGUGAAUAAUCCUGUUGGACAUUAGCAAAUGGCCCCGUGAGAAUGGUUGAAAUGAUCUGCAGAAAAAUCAUAAAUUUUUUACCUUCUGUAUUGAAACCAGUAUUUUGUUUAUGAUUCAAGAAAGUGUUACGUAACAAAUCAACAACAGUGCAUAAUUCCAG